CUAUUUUGUACCAAUACAAUAUAUUAAUUUUACAAAUGUAAAAUUUUAUCCGCUGUUAAAGCAUUUGCAAAAACCACACAUCCUACUUCAGCUUUAUUGCACAAUAUAAACGAGGAUACCAAGCUGGCCAGGUGCUUCAACAGAUCCAGGACAAAGCACUUGUUUAAAACCAGUCCAAGAUACUUAAUCCAAACUGUAUCAUUCUUCAUUAGAAAUCUAGACGCCACUCAAGGUGGUUUCUUUAA
rnacentral:lncRNA from 1 species